UAGACGCGGGCGAGCGACUGUUGCCGGUCUCCAUGGCAACCAACGGUGGGCGCGCAGAACUUCCCGGAUGGCGUCCUCUAUGACGUCGUCGCGCGGUGGGCGGUGCUGCGCUAAGGGGUCUCCCUGUCCCGCCCCUCCGCCUUUGGCCUGAGCGGGGCAUGCGGAGAUGGCCGACGCUGGGUGGCGCCGGAGGAGCCCAGGCUGCUCCCACCCCUUUUCGUUGCGCAGCUAGGAGAGGAAGCGUGGAGAAAGGUUUACUGGACAUAUCUCUGCAUGUCCCCUGCAGCUCCUGGAACUAUAAAGGAAGCUGCCCACUGGAAGGAAGGACCUGCCUAGCAAAUGUGGCUUAUUUUUCUGAAGAACACCGUUUCAAAUUACACAGUAAAAGCAACCAUAAAAUCCAA